rnacentral:rRNA from 1 species
UACGAAGGGGGCUAGCGUUGCUCGGAAUCACUGGGCUUAAAGGGCGCGUAGGCGGGCUGUCAAGUCUGGGGUGAAAUCCCGCGGCUCAACCGUGGAACUGCCUCAGAUACUGACGGCCUCGAGGGAGAUAGGGGCGAGCGGAACUGAUGGUGGAGCGGUGAAAUGCGUUGAUAUCAUCAGGAACUCCGGUGGCGAAGGCGGCUCGCUGGGUCUCUUCUGACGCUGAUGCGCGAAAGCCAGGGGAGCAAACGGG